UUUGUUUGCUCAAAUGUGCGGUCUAGUGGAGUUGGGCACAGGUAUUGGUCUAGUGGAGUUGGGCACAGGUUUGUUCCUCAAGGGCUGAAAGACCUUUCAGAUCUUUAAUAUUCAAAAAAAUUCCAAAAAUGUUCUAAAUUGAGCAAAUCAAAUGAAUAAUUUGUUGAAUUUGGUUGAUAGUUAUGCCAGGCUUUAACAAAAGCCUGGAAACUCUGCAGGCUGCAUGUGUUGGUACUGAUUAGCACUAGGUUGGAGCCAGCCUAGUCCUGGUAAGCCAGUAAAUUCUGGGCCUGAGCACACCCUGGCAGGGGUCCAUUUUGAAACAUUCUUAUACCUUGGGAAAGAAGUUGAAUUGAUUCAUUUCAUGAGCUCUGAAAUGCAGCUGCAGAACCACAGGCUGGAUGUCCAGAUUUGGACUAGGCUGAACUAGGGAAUUUCGCAUUGAUUAUCCCCCUAACCAGGGAUUUUCAACGGCUUUUGGUCCAGGGCCCCCUAUCUAGGCUCUAAGUCAUCCUGGGGACCCCCAUCAUAAGUUGAAAAUAUAUAUUUUUUAAAAUAAAUAUUUUGAAAUAUUUUCCGAAAUCUACAUCUAUUGCUACUGCAUAUCAAGUCUGGUCAGGGACCCCCUACAGUACCUUCCGUAGGCCGCAGUUGAAAACCCAGGGACUGUACAAUCUUGUGGUUUAAUAAAUGCAGAUUAUUCUUGGCGUAUUGUAGCAUUUUUAUUACCCUUUCCUCCAAAUUUGGCAGCUCUGCAGAUGAGUUGCACCUCUCUACAGUUGUGUGCUCCAUGCGUGUCUGUGGCUUUCCCAAUGUUUAUGUGAUGAAAGAUAAAAUUUGUACUGCUUUGUCUGGGGAAACAUCAGGGGCCUUGGAUUUCAUUCUAAAUUUCAGAAUGCGCCAAAUUCCAAUUUUGCAUACACACAAUUUAUGAUGCAUAUGCAUGAAUGAAUAAGUUGGCAUAAAUCACAAAUAUCAACAAAACUGACAUUUCAAUUUUGCAAGUCCACCCCAGUGUCCACCCUCGAGUUAAAAAGCCAGUCUCUGGUGGCUUUUUAACUCCUCUCACAAUGUUACAAGCUCUGUCUGUCCGUUUUCUAAACCUACGCUUACGGAGUAUGUGAGGCUACAUUUUCUAAGUCUUCCAACAGUAGCCAUUUCCCCUUAAGUGUGAAUAAAUUACUUCAGUUUCUAAAGUCUUGUCUGUAAUUACCAUUAAUAUGUGCAAAGGAAUUUGCAUAUGAUUUGCAAAUUUGCAACUUGCAGUUGAUAAUGCUGUGCUGUGCCAUGGGUUUCAAACAAGUUUUUCUUUAUCCAUAUAGUGUGUUUGCAUUGCUUCUCAUGCGUCUCACACACUAUUUGAAUAUUUAGUAUGAACAUUUUAUAGAAAAGGCCCCUGGGCUGCUAGGAAGACAGUGGUGAUUUGCAUCACAGCCCAAGUGUGAGAACUACCUCUUUACACAUAGAGGGGGAGAAUAUAUUUCUGGAUAAAUGUGGCCCAGGACCUUUCAAAUGUGUCUUGCAAGGUUGGAUGAUGUGACUCGACAGGUUUCUCCUCCGGAGGUGUGACCUCCUACCGGUAAUUGCUGGCUGCAAGAGUUGCAAAUCCCAUAUUCCCUUGGGAUCUAGAGGAAACGUCAUCAUCCACUGCAGAAAUGUGCUCCAGGACUGCUGGGUGGCUCAUUCGGUCAAGGCAACAUGCCUCUGGUGGUGACAUGCAGUUGUGUCGCACAUGGGUACAGGAGG